UACGGGGGGAGCAAGCGUUGUUCGGAUUUACUGGGCGUAAAGGGCGCGUAGGCGGCGUGACAAGUCACUUGUGAAAUCUCCGGGCUUAACUCGGAACGGUCAAGUGAUACUGUCGUGCUAGAGUACAGAAGGGCAACUGGAAUUCUCGGUGUAGCGGUGAAAUGCGUAGAUAUCGAGAGGAACACCAGAGGUGAAGACGGGUUGCUGGGCCGACACUGACGCUGACAGCGCGAAAGCCAGGGGAGCAAACGGG
rnacentral:rRNA from 1 species